AAACACAAAAAUCUUGAAGGAUCCAUUCCUAAUUUUUUUUGGAUUCUUUUAAAUUUGGGUUGGCAAAAGAAUACGAGAUUGAUUCCUUCUAAUUUGAUUCAUCUUUUUCGACUAAAAUCAUGGCAAAAGAAAGAAAUUUAUCAGAGCUAGACAAUUAUUCUCUGAGCUCAAUGUUCACUUUCUCUCUAAAGAACAAAUUUGUAGAUCUAGUUUUUAUUUGGCGUGAAUUUCGUUUUCUUAUGGUUGAUUGUUACUGUUUUCUUAUGGUUGAUCGUUUUCUUCUAAAGUUGCUCUUAUUUUUAUUUUUAUUUUUUUGGUUUAGAUCCACCGGCAAAAUCACUGAGAACAAAAAAAAAAAGCUUCUAUUUGUUAUUCUCUCAAUUGUUUCUAUUUUUCAUUUCUCUUCUUUCUUCUUCUUCUUCUUCUUCUUCUUCAUCAGCUCUUUGAUUUUUUUGAAUCUUGAUCUGUGAGGAAAGACUCUUUGAAUCUCUCUAUCUCUCUGCUCAAGACGUGAAUUUGAGGCAAACCCAUUACGAAUGGAUCAACUCCUUCUACUUCAUUGGCUAUCACAAGACCAGCGUCCUCAGCUGCUGAUCAGGGUUUGAUGAUUCUCCAAUCUCCAAAAGUAGCGUUCUACAGGAGAUCCAAAACUAUAAAGGGUAAACGCAUGCCUUCGUCAUGUAAAGAGAAAGACCAAGUGAAAGAAGGUCAAAUUCUGUGCUACAUUGAACAACUCGGUGGCCAAUUCCAAGUCUUCUUCGUGUAAUGAUUUUUUAUUUUCUCGUUUACUCAUAUGGAACAGAGCCUGUAGGAUACAAUGAUGCUCUCAUCUCGAUCCUUCCCUCUUUCCCUGGGAUUAAGAAGCUUCAAGAAGAAAAAAAUGGUCAUCUGAGGAGGAUGAGGAGAUCAUUGCUGCUGUGAAGCGACAUGGUGAAGGCAGCUGGGCCCUUAUUGCUAAGGAAGAAUUUGAAGGAGAGCGAACACCCUCACAACUCUCACAGAGAGCUAUUUUCGUAGUCACAGAAUUAUGGUAUGGUAGCGAGAUUGUUGCUAUCAAAGUUGUCCACCGCGGCACCAAACCUGAUGAGAAAUCUUCCCUCGAGAGCCAUUUCAUCCGCGAAGUCAAUAUGAUGUCCCGAGUUCAACACCCUAAUCUUGUCAAGUUUAUUGGAGCCUGCAAAGACCCUCUCAUGGUGAUAGUGACUGAGCUGCUCCCAAGGUUGUCCCUCCGUAAAUAUCUUGCCACCAUCCGUCCUCAGGUGCUCCGUCUCCCUCUUGCUUUUGUCCUUUGCCCUUGACAUUUCCCGCGCCUUGGACUGCUUACACGCCAAUGGUAUCAUUAACCGAGGACAUUCGAAGCUCGACUAGGUGUCCAAGAAAUUCGUUGGCUUGAAAAGCAUUGUACCCCUCUUUUUUUACCAUAUUGUGAAUUAACAUGGUAUGUACUCUUUAUGAGAAUAAAUAUGGUUAUAUCCUUUUGCAGAUUUAAUAAUUUAUAUUUCUUAGUAUA